CAUUCGGAAGUUCUACUCCCAACCCAUGUGAACUUACCACUGUUGCCUCGGCAGAUGUUGCUGGGCGAACCUACCCUGUAGCGAGCUACUCUGUAGCGACCUACCCGGGAACGGCUUACCCUGUAGCGCCUGCCGGUGGACUACUAAACUCUUGUUAUUUUUAAGUAAUCUGAGCGUCUUAUUUUAAUAAGUCAAAACUUUCAACAACGGAUCUCUUGGUUCUGGCAUCGAUGAAGAACGCAGCGAAAUGCGAUAAGUAAUGUGAAUUGCAGAAUUCAGUGAAUCAUCGAAUCUUUGAACGCACAUUGCGCCCAUUAGUAUUCUAGUGGGCAUGCCUGUUCGAGCGUCAUUUCAACCCUUAAGCCUAGCUUAGUAUUGGGAACUGGCUUUACUGCCAUUCCUCAAAUUCAACGGCGGAUUUAUAGCAAUCUCUGAACGUAGUAAUUUUUUUCUCGUUUUUGAAAUACUGUAAACCUCAGCCGCUAAACCCCCCAAUUUUUAAUGGUUGACCUCGGAUCAGGUAGGAAUACCCGCUGAACUUAAGCAUAUCAUAAGGCGGGGAGGGAACUUUCUUUACAGAGUUAUCUAACUCCCAAACCGUGUGAACUACACUGUGUGCUUCCCGAAAUUUGGCUGGG
rnacentral:rRNA from 1 species